UGCAAUUCAGAGGUCCUGGGUCCUAACCCCUGUGUGACCUUACACAAGCCACUUUCUCUCUUUGACCCUCAGCUUCCCAGUUGUAAGAUGGAGGUGUGGGCGGGGUGAACUAGGAGCUCCGAGAACCCCAGUCCUGUUCAGCCUCUCGCAUGUGCUUCUCCUUGUUGGCAGUGCGAACAAAGAGAGGCUAAAACCACAGCUGGAUCCAGGAAGGCAAACUUUUGCCCACGAUUUGCCACACUCGUGGUAGAAAUCCUGCUCGGUUGAAGUUAGAACAUUUCUGAGAGAAAGUUCAAGUUUUGAAACUGCUAAUGCCUUCCUGUGCUGGCUGCCGUGCCUGAAAGAGAACGAAGCCUCGCUCAAAAGAGACUGAGCCCUUCAUGCAAUUAAUCAGCUACAUCUCUGUGCCGUAUGUUGCGAUGUCUACUUUCCAGAGGAAAGAUUAUUUUCAAACCACAUAAAUGAUGAUGCUUUUGGAAAAAAAAAAAAACAACAAAAGGAAAACCCACCUCUCUUAAAUGAUAUGAACUCGUCUAUUGUUUUUAUUUCGCACCCACAGUCUUGAUGCCUUUAAUCUCUAAAAUCAUUUCAGUUUCCAAAAAUCAUUUGAAACACUCCUACA